CCUACGGGGGGCAGCAGUGAGGAAUAUUGGUCAAUGGGCGAGAGCCUGAACCAGCCAAGUCGCGUGAGGGAGUACUGCCCUAUGGGUUGUAAACCUCUUUUGUCGGGGAGCAGUGGUCCGGACGCGUCCGGACCGGGAGAGUACCCGGAGAAAAAGCAUCGGCUAACUCCGUGCCAGCAGCCGCGGUAAUACGGAGGAUCCGAGCGUUAUCCGGAUUUAUUGGGUUUAAAGGGAGGGUAGAUGGGUUGUUAAGUCAGUUGUGAAAGUUUGCGGCUCAACCGUAAAAUUGCAAUUGAUACUGGCAGUCUUGAGUACAGUUGAGGUAGGCGGAAUUCGUGGUGUAGCGGUGAAAUGCUUAGAUAUCACGAAGAACCCCGAUUGCGAAGGCAGCUUACUAAACUGUGACUGACAUUGAUGCUCGAAAGUGUGGGUAUCAAACAGGAUUAGAUACCCUGGUAGUC
rnacentral:rRNA from 1 species